rnacentral:rRNA from 1 species
AGUUCGGAUCGCAGGCUGCAACCCGCCUGCGUGAAGUCGGAAUCGCUAGUAAUCGCGGAUCAGCAUGCCGCGGUGAAUACGUUCCCGGGCCUUGUACACACCGCCCGUCACACCAUGAGAGUCGGGAACACCCGAAGCCCGUAGCCUAACAGCAAUGAGGGCGCGGUCGAAGGUGGGUUCGAUAAUUGGGGUGAAGUCGUAACAAGGUAGC